rnacentral:rRNA from 1 species
UACGUAGGGGGCAAGCGUUGUCCGGAAUCAUUGGGCGUAAAGAGCGUGUAGGCGGCCAGAUAAGUCCGCUGUGAAAUCUCGAGGCUCAACUUCGAGCUGUCGGUGGAAACUGUCUGGCUAGAGUCCGGAAGAGGAGAAUGGAAUUCCUGGUGUAGCGGUGAAAUGCGCAGAUAUCAGGAGGAACACCAGUGGCGAAGGCGGUGCUCUGGGCCGGAACUGACGCUGAGGAGCGAAAGCGUGGGGAGCAAACAGG